rnacentral:rRNA from 1 species
UACAGAGGGGGCAAGCGUUGUUCGGAAUUACUGGGCGUAAAGGGCGCGUAGGCGGCCUGUUAAGUCGAACGUGAAAUCCCCGGGCUCAACCCGGGAACUGCGUCCGAUACUGGCAGGCUUGAAUUCGGGAGAGGGAUGCGGAAUUCCAGGUGUAGCGGUGAAAUGCGUAGAUAUCAUGAGGAAUACCAGAGGCGAAGGCGGCUCCCUGGACAAUAGCUGACACUCAGGCACGAAAGCGUGGGGAGCAAAAGGG